CGUAGGGAGCAAGCGUUGUCCGGAUUCACUGGGUGUAAAGGGUGCGCAGGCGGGUUUGCAAGUCAGAGGUGAAAUCUCACAGCUUAACUGUGAAACUGCCUUUGAUACUUCCAAUCUUGAGUUAAAGAGAGGUUGAUGGAAUUUCAGGUGUAGCGGUGAAAUGCGUAGAUAUCUGAAAGAACACCAGUGGCGAAGGCGGUCAACUGGCUUUUAACUGACGCUCAGGCACGAAAGCGUGGGUAGCGAACAGG
rnacentral:rRNA from 1 species